rnacentral:rRNA from 1 species
GACGGGGGGGGCAAGUGUUCUUCGGAAUGACUGGGCGUAAAGGGCACGUAGGCGGUGAAUCGGGUUGAAAGUGAAAGUCGCCAAAAAGUGGCGGAAUGCUCUCGAAACCAAUUCACUUGAGUGAGACAGAGGAGAGUGGAAUUUCGUGUGUAGGGGUGAAAUGCGUAGAUAUCGUAAAGAAGACCAGUGGCGAAGGCGGGUCUCUGGACAGUUCCUGACGCUGAGGCACGAAGGUCAGGGGAGCAAACGGG